UACGUAGGGGGCAAGCGUUGUCCGGAUUUAUUGGGCGUAAAGAGCGUGUAGGCGGCCAGGUAGGUCUGCUGUGAAAACUCGAGGCUUAACCUCGAGCUGUCGGCGGAAACCAUCUGGCUAGAGUCCGGAAGAGGAGAAUGGGAUUCCCGGUGUAGCGGUGAAAUGCGCAGAUAUCGGGAAGAACACCCGUGGCGAAGGCGGUUCUCUGGGACGGUACUGACGCUGAGACGCGAAAGCGUGGGGAGCGAACAGG
rnacentral:rRNA from 1 species